UCAAGUUUAGGGCUUUUAAUGAAACAAAAAUAGUAUUUGGACCAUAGUUGCAUGUUAGGUCUAAGUUCAGGGACAUUUUAGUAACUGUUUAUUAACUGUAUUUUCUGAAUCUGCAACAUUAGCCUUUUGAGUUUUUUUUGUCUCUUAUGCUAAGGCGGGCAUAGCUUCAAAGAGAUCCAACUUUCUAUGGAGAAAUCGAUCGAAUCAUAGAAGAAUCCAAGUCUUUUAUCGAUCCAUCAGCUGCAUGUAUCGAUCCUUUUAUAUGCAAGUUAAAUUCCACCAGAUGAAGCGUUAAUAUUUGGGGAUAUCAGGUUCUCCUUAGACAGGUAUCCCGCGUUCUUUUGUAGAAGACGGAGCGUAUGGAGUCACGUCUUUCUUUUGUUAAAACUUAUGUAUCUAUGAAACUUGUAUCACUUUACUUUUAAUCAAAUGUAAUGAACUCUAUGUAAUGUAA